GGUCAUGUUUGGGACAAUACGAUAAAAUUGAAACGAUACAGAGAAGAUCAACACAGCCCCAACGCGAGCACGAUGACACGCACAAAUCGAUAAAUAACACCAACGAUG